CAGUAGCCGCGGGAAAACGAAGGGUGCAAGCGUUACUCGGAAUUACUGGGCGUAAAGCGUGCGUAGGUGGUGGUUUAAGUCCGUUGUAAAAGCCCUGGGCUCAACCUGGGAAUUGCAGUGGAUACUGGGUCACUAGAGUGUGGUAGAGGAUAGUGGAAUUUCCGGUGUAGCAGUGAAAUGCGUAGAGAUCGGAAGGAACAUCUGUGGCGAAGGCGACUAUCUGGGCCAACACUGACACUGAGGCACGAAAGCGUGGGGAGCAAACAGGAUUAGAUACCCCAGUAGUCCCUGUCUCUUAUAC
rnacentral:rRNA from 1 species